rnacentral:rRNA from 1 species
AGCAUAUCAAUAAGCGGAGGAAAAGAAACUAACAAGGAUUCCCCUAGUAACUGCGAGUGAAGCGGGAAAAGCUCAAAUUUAAAAUCUGGCGGUCUCUGGCCGUCCGAGUUGUAAUCUAGAGAAGUGCUGCCCGCGCUGGACCGUGUACAAGUCUCCUGGAAUGGAGCGUCAUAGAGGGUGAGAAUCCCGUCUCUGACACGGACUACCAGGGCUUUGUGGUACGCUCUCAAAGAGUCGAGUUGUUUGGGAAUGCAGCUCAAAAUGGGUGGUAAAUUCCAUCUAAAGCUAAAUAUUGGCGAGAGACCGAUAGCGAACAAGUACCGUGAGGGAAAGAUGAAAAGAACUUUGGAAAGAGAGUUAAACAGUACGUGAAAUUGCUGAAAGGGAAACGCUUGAAGUCAGUCGCGUUGGCCGGGGAUCAGCCUCGCUUUUUUGCGUGGUGUACUUUCUGGUUGACGGGUCAGCAUCAAUUUUGACCGCUGGAAAAAGGCUUGGGGAAUGUGGCAGCUUCGGCUGUGUUAUAGCCCUUUGUCACAUACAGCGGUUGGGAUUGAGGAACUCAGCACGCCGCAAGGCCGGGUUUCGACCACGUUCGUGCUUAGGAUGCUGGCAUAAUGGCUUUAAGCGACCCGUCUUGAAACACGGACCAAGGAGUCUAACAUGCCUGCG